rfam:Nicotiana attenuata strain TT chromosome 2, whole genome shotgun sequence.
AUCCCAUUAUGCUGACACUUUCUCAUUAUCUCCUUGAAUCUUUCCCAAGCCUCAAAAACUGUUUCAGUGUCCUUCUGGCAGAAGUUGUGAAUCUCCCUUCUGAAUUU